GGACUGGUGGUGUGGUGGUAACACAUUGCAUCUGGACAUGAAGAGGGGUGGUUCAAUUCCUUCCCGGACCA
rnacentral:tRNA from 1 species